GACGCAUUUCGGUGNGNAAACUCCUUUUCUGUCGGAAGAUGAUGACGGUAUGACAGGAAUAAGCACCGGCUAACUCCGUG
rnacentral:rRNA from 1 species